UACGUAGGGCGCAAGCGUUAUCCGGAAUUAUUGGGCGUAAAGGGCUCGUAGGCGGUCUGUCGCGUCGGGAGUGAAAACUCAGGGCUUAACCCUGAGCCUGCUCCCGAUACGGGCAGACUAGAGGUAUGCAGGAGAGAACGGAAUUCCUGGUGUAGCGGUGAAAUGCGCAGAUAUCAGGAGGAACACCGAUGGCGAAGGCAGGUCUCUGGGCCACUACUGACGCUGAGAAGCGAAAGCAUGGGGAGCGAACAGG
rnacentral:rRNA from 1 species